UACGGGGGGGCAAGCGUUGUUCGGAAUUACUGGGCGUAAAGGGCUCGUAGGCGGCCAACUAAGUCAGACGUGAAAUCCCUCGGCUUAACCGGGGAACUGCAUCUGAUACUGGAUGGCUUGAGUUCGGGAGAGGGAUGCGGAAUUCCCGGUGUAGCGGUGAAAUGCGUAGAUAUCUGGAGGAAUACCGGUGGCGAAGGCGGCAUCCUGGACCAUUACUGACGCUGAGGCGCGAAAGCUAGGGGAGCAAACGGGG
rnacentral:rRNA from 1 species